AUUGAACGCUGGCGGCAGGCUUAACACAUGCAAGUCGAGCGAGCGGCGGACGGGUGAUUAAUGUCUGGGAAACUGCCUGAUGGAGGGGGAUAACUACUGGAAACGGUAGCUAAUACCGCAUACCAUCAGAUGUACACCUAUGGGAUUGGCUCGUAGGUGGGGUAAUGGCGCACCUAGGCGACGAUCCCUAGCUGGUCUGAGAGGAUGACCAGCCAAACUGGAACGGAGACAAGGCCCAGACGCCUACGGGAGGCAGCAGUGGGGAAUAUUGCACAAUGGGCGCAAGCCUGAUGCAGCCAUGCCGCGUGUGUGAAGAAGGCCUUAGGGUUGUAAAGCACUUUCAGCGAGGAGGCGUUACUCGCAGAAGAAGCACCGGCUAACUCCGUGCCAGCAGCCGCGGUAAUUC
rnacentral:rRNA from 1 species